rnacentral:misc_RNA from 1 species
AAAAUUUUAAACUUUUAAAUUCAAUAUCAAACAACUACUCAACCAGUUUUUCUUGACGAGAUUUUUGGCUGCUCUUUGCCCCAUCAGGGCAGAGGAUGGCUCCCCUCCUGUCCAGGGAGUGAGUCUCUCCUUCUUCACCUCUGGGCGGGACUGUAGAUAGAUUUUUGUGUAUGUUUCUUUAGCAUGCGGACUGAACUUCAUAGGAGGGACGAUUUCGAUCUGUUGCGGAUAAGCUUUUUAGCUCCCGUAGGUGUGGCUUGUUUCUUGAGUGUGGUUAACCCUAUGAGAAAGAGCUCUCCCUUUAUGCAUCUGAAAGAUAUCUUGGGGGUCAUUCCAUUGGCCCGCUCUAUUUUGGUUGUUGGACCCAAAUGGCUCCAAGAGAUUGAGAUUACCGCGUAGCUCUGCCGUUCAGCGUUCUUUCAGAUCACCGUUUGCUGCCUUAAAAAGAACCCAAGCCCUCUCUGCUGAUUUUGGAUCAGGUGUGCUAUGGUGGUGGUGCGACGAUAACAGCUUUCUUCCAAUCAACAGAGAACGCAGAUGGAGCUACUGCGGCGUUUCUUUUCCUGCUUGGUAGAGAUGGUAGCGUUGGGGUUCAUUUGUUCUUGGGCUUAUGGGCCGUUUUUUUUAGGCUAGCUGCUAGGUCUGAAUUAUUUUUGUUCUUUUUUUGAUGAUGUAGGAACCAUUUCUUUGCGAUUUAUAUCUAGCCCUAGGCUUCUUGUACCUUUAACCCACUUUUAAU